UGAUACAAAAAUAAAUAAAUCAAACACAAUUGGAACAACACAAAGAAGGUUAACAUGGUCUUUGCACAAGGUGACAUGCAAAUUCAUGAAGUAUUCCAUAUUUAA